rnacentral:rRNA from 1 species
CCUACGGGAGGCAGCAGUGGGGAAUAUUGCGCAAUGGGCGAAAGCCUGACGCAGCGACGCCGCGUGAGGGAUGAAGGUCUUCGGAUCGUAAACCUCUGUCAGCAGGGAAGAACGGUCACUGUGCUAAUCAGCAGUGAAUUGACGGUACCUGCAAAGGAAGCACCGGCUAACUCCGUGACAGCAGCCGCUGUAAUACGGAGGGUGCGAGCGUUAAUCGGAAUUACUGGGCGUAAAGGGGUCGUAGGCGGUAUGUCAAGGCAAGGGUGAAAUCCCCGCGCUCAACGUGGGAACUGCCUUUGAAACUGGCAAACUGGAGUGUGUGAGAGGAUAGUGGAAUGCCAGGUGUAGGAGUGAAAUCCGUAGAUAUCUGGAGGAACAUCAGUGGCGAAGGCGACGAUCUGGCACAUAACUGACGCUGAGGAGCGAAAGCGUGGGUAGCAAACAGGAUUAGAUACCCGUGUAGUC